rnacentral:rRNA from 1 species
GAUGAACGCUGACAGAAUGCUUAACACAUGCAAGUCUUUGGCGAAGCUGUGCUUGCACAGCCUAGCCAGGGCGGACGGGUGAGUAACGCGUAAGGAACUUGCCCUGCAGUCAGGGAUAACAGACGGAAACGACUGAUAAGACCUGGUAAAGUCAGGCGGACUCAUGUCCAGCCUGAUGAAAAGAGAUGCUGCAGGAGAGCCUUGCGUCCUAUUAGCUUGUUGGUGGGGUAACGGCCCACCAAGGCGAUGAUAGGUAGCCGGCCUGAGAGGGUGGACGGCCACAAGGGGACUGAGAUACGGCCCUUACUCCUACGGGAGGCAGCAGUGGGGAAUAUUGGACAAUGGGGGCAACCCUGAUCCAGCAAUUCUGUGUGCACGAUGAAGGUUUUCGGAGUGUAAAGUGCUUUCAGCAGGGAAGAAAAAAAUGACGGUACCUGCAGAAGAAGCGACGGCUAAAUACGUG